GAAACUACCAACAGAUGGUAAAUACAUUUUUAAUUCUUCUGUCAUACUGUGUGGACUUGGGCACAUUUGUCCUGCUGUGUUAGGCUCCCGAAAUAGCUAGUCAUGGCACUGCAGAACGGUGCUGCUGCACUGAGACGUAGGGAACCAUGCUCGCUGACAAACAGAAAGGGUUCAUAGUAGGAUGGAGUGGAUUUGCUCCCAGGCUGUGGCUCCUCUGUGUGGCAUCUGCUGUCCCUCUUAGUGCAGAAACAUUCUCCUAGAUGUCAGAUCUCACUGUUGGUGUUUGGAAAUACACUAUUUCAAAUCGUCUCUUGAGCUCUAGUUACUAUUAUUAAAUAUUGCCAUUAUCUACACGAUAACUGUAACCAUUCAAGGAAGUGAAGUCCACUUAUUCAUAAUAUCUGAAGUCCUCCAGGGAGGGUCAUAGUCACCUGUGGCAGCCUAGACCUCUUUAUCUCACCUUUCUCAUGUUUUUAGUUUUGUCACAAUGUUCCCAUACAGCACCGUGGGAAUUCCAGAACCCGGAGAAGUGAGUGCUCUGCCCACUUGAGAUGACAUUGGAUACUGUUCACCGGAGUGAGUGAGGGUCCCGAUUCCACCACCAUCUCUCAGUGCAUCAGCAAAAAGAAAAGCAUGCUGGUGAAUCCAACUGGGUGCAGAAAAAGGUGGUGAGGGAGGCCUAUUACUUAAUCAUAGCCUCAGAAAUACAGCUUAUACAAUACCAUAUUAUUGGAACCAGGAGCAUCCUUGGAAAAUCUAGUUCAAUUUUUUUUUUUCAUUUUAUAGACAAGAGUCAGAGCCAAAGAGUUGCAGGAAAUUGGCAUAGAUCAUGCAAUUAGUGUCAAAUUCAAUACUGGAAACUGAGACCUCUCUCUCUCUCUCUCUCUCUCCUCUCGCACUUAGAGAAGGAGGACACUGCUGUGAUGCACAAAAUCCAACUCUACAAGACCUUGGUCAUGGCAGUCCUCACACUUGGGUCCUUAUAAUGCAAGGUUUUGGAGUCUCUGGUUCGUGGCUGUUUGGGGAACUGGUUGAUAUUCUUUAUAGAUUGGAGAUAAAGGCGAAUGGGAAUGAUUCCUAUGAUCCACAUUUGAUUAUCUGGCCAAUAUCAUCGGGGACAAUUGAAGGUUUACAGCUCAAGGCCUUGAAAGAAAGAAAAAACUACAUUUGGGAUGAAUUCACAUACAGAGAGUUUCCAUCUGAGAGCCUGUUUGGCUGCUCUAAAAAUGUCGAUUAACAUCAAGAUUCCAUUUUAAGAGUUCAGUUGACACUGUUUGAAAUGAAAACAAGAGCUAGACAUAAACAAUUGUUUUAUGAGGAAGUGUUGAACAUUGCUUGUGUGAGAGAGCAAAAAUCGUAUGCUGUUGAUUUUACCUUUCCUUUGGAAGACACCUUUAGGAUUGUUCUUCUACAGUGUGUUGAAGCUAUGAUUCUUACUCACAGUGCUGUGUUCCACUGUGUGAUAACACAGCUUUGAAACUAUCCCUGCCUGAAGGCCAACGACAGUUCCAGUACCCAGACACCAGUUGUAUCCCGGCACUCCCAAGUGAAAUCUGCACAUAAAAGUGGGCUGUCCAGGAUGUGAUGCUGUUCAGCAUUUUGGAUAGAAGGGCAAGUACUCAUUAUCAUCAAGAAACAACUCCAUUACCAAGGUCAGAGGGUAGUUGACAUACACAUCUCAUCACUACCUCUCCAACCUCAGCUCACAGCAUGCAGAUAGUGGAAACAACACAGAUACAAAUGGCCAUGUAGUGUUUUACUCCAUAUGUGGCUCUGUUGAUCAGUACAAUCCAUGGGCCUAAGAAGUGAUGAGCAGAUCAGUUUCCUGAGGUCAGAAACAAAGGAACAAGUUACUCUACAUCAUCAGCAGGAUGAAUCUCAUAGUGCUGGAAAAUAUAGAAGAGGCUAGGCACAAGAUAAUGCUAGCUGGAUUGUUCUAUUUGUAGGAAGUUCAAAAGCAUACAAAAUGAUUGUGUCACAGAUCAGUAUAGUAGUGUUCUUUUGAUGAGGCCAAAACUGCGAUUAGAAGGGUUUCAGGGUGCUAGAAAGUUCUGUUCUGACCUAGGUGGUGGUCACAGAAGUGUGUUCCUUGUGAUAACACACUAGGCUUUAUACAUGUGAUCUGUAUG
rnacentral:lncRNA from 1 species